CUCCAGGAGACUAUUUACCGGGAAGGGGCACAGCCUGGCAUGGCAGCCCUCAGCAGAGGCCAUCCCUGCAGAGCCUGAAGUUCAACCAAAGAAAGGGGAAGGGCGCUGAGCUGGUGCAUGCCAGGCGGUAGGGGACCUGAGGCCCGAGAGUGACCCUUCCAAGCUCACGGGCAGCUGGACACCAGUGACUUCCAUGGCCAACACCUGCGUCUGUACCAUCACGAAUGGCCCCGGGACACAGAAGACAGCAAACCUGCCUGUGGGCAAGGAGGCUUCUUGAAGCCACAAGCGGCGCGGGGAGUCUGGGUGGUGAGGCCGCCUGCCUCCUGCCUGCUGAGGAGACAACGCUGCAGCUGUUCCCACCAGUGGCCCAUGCUGGCAGCCAUCUGACUCCAGUCCUGCCCAGGACAGCUGGGCCAGGCCAGGCUUCGAGGGGCUGAGAAUCUGUCAACAUGAUUAUACAUUCAGGAGCUGUGGUCCAUGGACCGGCUGCCUUACUCAGGACCCCACUUACCGCCAGACCCCAGGUGCCCCAGCUCCAGUGGGACCACAACACUGCUUCAGGUCUCCAGCAGCACAGACCUGGCGGACUUCUAAGGUUCUGACAGAAGAGGCCCCAUGGAGAGGCCCAUGAGGUGCAGAGCUGAGGAAGUCCCCACAAGUGGGAACCUGAACCCACCACGCCCCCCGAGGGAGCGUGGAAGUGAGUCUGUCUCGGUCGACCCUUCUGGUGAGACCACAGCCCAUUCAGCACCUUGAAGGAGAGGAGCAGUUCAGCCACAGCUGGAUCACAGACCCACUGAAACCAGAGGACAAUAAACUGCUGUUUUAAGCCACCAAAGUGGGUAAUGUGGGGUAAUUCGUUACACAGCACGAGAUCGCCCAUGGCGUUGAAGGUGGGGUGGGCUGCGGGCCCUGCGGGUGCCAGCGUGUGCUGUGGCGGCGACAGGACCGGCCCUGGUGGAGCUUGGCCGUGAAGGACCAGGGCGGGGCGGCCAUCCACGAGGGUCUGCGGGAUGAGAGGCGAUGCCAUAGAUGCGUCUGUCAGACGGUCGUGGAGAAAACGGAUGAUGGGGAAUGAGGCGUCUCAGAGGGGCUCCCUGAGCAGGUGGGGGCCAGGGCGGGACAGCUGGGACAAAGGUAGGCAGAGGGGCAGAGAGCUGGGGUUUGGGGAGGGAGGAAGAUGGAGCGGAAGGGGGCGGGUGGCUGGGCGGGCGUUUCUCCAGCCACGUCCAACUGCCCGAGUCAGGAGGACUCGCCACGAGAGGUGCUGAGGGGGCAAGCGGCGGUCACUGGUGGCGGGGAUCUGAGCUGGGCGAGGAGGAAGGUGAGGACAGGCAGGGUGUCAGGCAGGGAGAACCUGAGCAAAUCAAGGCCACCCUGCGUUCCCACCACACACCCACCCAGGUGGCCCUGAGAACGGAAAAUCCCCGCGUGGGCCAGGAUGUGGCGCAGCCGCCACGGAGAGCGCUGCGCAGGGUCUUCAGAAAGCUGGAGGUGGGGUCCCCAUGUGACUCAGGCCUCACUCCUGGGUCUGCGCCUCAGAGCUGACAGCAGGGACCCAGACAAAUGUCUGUGCAGCAGCGUUGUUCACAGGAGGCAAAGGUGAAAGUGCCCCAAGUGUCCAGGGAUGGAUGACGGAUGAGGAAACAUGGUCCACCCACGCAUGGAUUGCCAUUCAGCCUUAAAAGGAAGGGAAUUCUGACAUGCGCCGGAACACGGGUGGACCUGGAGGGCGUCCUGCUCAGGGAGGGAGGCCGGUCACAGACGGUCAAGUAGGAUCCAUGUAUGUGCGGUCCCGAGAGUCGCAGAUUCACAGACACGGAGAAUAGAUGGUGGUGCUGGGGGCUGGGGGAGGGGGAAUGGCGUCAGCAUUGAAGAGGGACAGUUUCAGUUUGGGAAGAUGGAAAGUUCUGGAGAGGAUGGUGGUGAUGACUGCACUUAAUGCCGCUGAGCUGCAAAAUGGCGAAAUGGCAAAUUUAUGUCACGUGUAUCGUACCACAGUGAAACGUCAACAGCAGAGCCCGUUUGGAGCAGUGUUUCCAUCCUGGCAAGAGCAGAACGCAGGCGCCCAGUGAGCUGCGAAGAUGCCCGCGUGACUCCAGUGCCUGUGAGGAGCUCGCUGCUCUCACGCUUGCAUCAUGUUUGCAUCUAAAACUCACCUUGCUCAGCGCAGAGACAGACAGUGACAUUCGUGAUAACGAGUUGAAAUGUGAUGUGUCUUUACUUAGAGCGACAUUACAAAAACAAGUAAAUGGCACCACAGCAAAGAGGAACAGCUUUGUAUUUUAGUUCCUUCAAUGUCACUCCUUCCGGCUUGUUGAGCAAGGGGGCCCUGUGUUGAUCACGUGGCCAGCGGGCAGAUCUGGGCAAGCCUUUCCGUCUCACACGUGCUUCUUGGCCAACAUACACACAGGUGGUAAAUACGGGGACAGUUAGGGACAGCUGCCACACUGCCCUGCCGGCGCUGGCUGGAGGGCUGAGGCCUGACAAGCCCGUUCGGUGGCCUGGGGGCACGCACACGCUGUUUGUGUCAUUACUGUUGAAACUGCACACUGUGUGCUCUUUGCUGGGUGUGCGUUGCAUUUCAUGAUUUAAAUAUUAAAAUAUGUGUAUUUUUUUUUCUUUUUUAUUUAACAAUAUGUGUAUUUUUAAAAAAGGCGUUUCCUGGGCAGAUCUCCCACCACCUCCUGAGGGCCCCAGUCCCAGGCUUGGGAACCCAGAGGUGCCCUGGGGUCGUGGAGGGAGACCAGUGGGUCUCGGGGGUGGGGGGCGUUCUGCAUUUCUGACAGCCCCCGGGACCCCAGCUCGGGGCCAGGGCUGCACCACCCACGUGGGCCCCUCCUGGCCUGUGUGAACUGAGCUGCCUGCAGCGUGGGCGGUGCAGGGGCUUAGGCCUGAGUAGAAAAGAUGUGCACUGUCCUUAUUGCCUGUUUAUAUUAACUGCCUGUUGAAAUGAUAAUAUUUUGGAGAUUUCGGGUUAAAUAAGCUCAGUUAUUAAAAUUAGGUUCACCUGUUUCUUGCUAGUGGGCUCUUCUCCACCACUGGCCCAAAUCACAACCAGAUCUUUUCCUGUGCCUGCCAGAGAGCAGGGAGCUGGCAGGAGGGUAUGCCCUAGUGCCCAACCGCCGUUCCCAGAGAGCGAGGCUUCCCGUCCCCCCAGCUCCCCCAGCCCCAUCUGACCAUGACCAGGCAACCAGAGCCCCUUCUGGUCCCACCCAGUCCAGGCUCCCCUUUUCCUGCCUCAUCAGACCCCCAGCCAGGCAGAUGUCCUCCCACCCUCGGUCCCCCCAGGUCCUGCCACCCCACACACCCAUGCUCUGCCCAGUUCCCUGUCCCGUACCCAACCUGGCCAGGUCUGGCCCCCUUGAGCCCAUCCCAGAAGCUGGGGACUGAGAAUCUGUGGCAGCCUCCAGGCAUCUGUUCAGAAUCGCCCCGACCUGCCCCACAACCCGCAGGCCCACAGGAUGGGCCAGUGGCCCUGGGAGGGCAGAGCCGGCAGAGCAGGCCUGGCCCAGACAGACAGAUGGACAGAAGGCCAGCAAAGACGUCCUGCCUCCUCUGCCCGCAGCACCACCACUAGGGCACAGGGACACGGGGCCAUCGUGCAUGGACAUGUUGGCCUGGGUGAGGUCCUGCUACGUAGGGCCCCAAGGGGGCUCUCCUAUGAGCAGCUGGGGGCACACACGCUGAGGGGCACAGGUGUGGGAGGGGCAUGCCAGCCUCGUGCAGGCAGGGUGAGGGGCACCCCUGCGCAGCGUGGUCAGGCCUGCAUGCCACUAGGCAGUCACACACAAGCGCACACGCACAUGCAGGCAUGAAUGUGCACAUAGGCGGCUCCCUGACCACCAGCCUUCCAGGGAACCCAUUUGUCAUGCAAACAACCCCUCCAGGGGGCCCUGCCAGCCUCCAGAGGAGGUUCCAGAGCUGUCACCUGCCCAAGGUGAGGCCUGGGCUCAAAGCUGGUACCCUGCAGGGCCCUGUUGGGUCAUGCAGCCCCCUCCCCACACGGGUAGCAGCUGAGAGAUCUCCCGCCUACAGAGGGGCCCCAGCUGCAGACCCAGACUGGACUGGGACUUGACCCCAGCUGCAGGCUCAAUGCCGGUGCCACCCUUAGGAGCCCCAGUGUAGCCAGUUCCUUGCAGGGUGGGGACAGGGAGGGCCAGGUCUCAUUCCUCAGCUGUUUCCAGGGUUGUGAGCUAAGAGGGAAGGUGCUCAGCCCUGUGCCCACAGGGCCAGGACACAGCCCCCAGGCCUCAAGCUAAGUGGACCAGUCUAUCUCUCCUCAGGGCGGGUCUGUUUCCCAUCUGCCCCUACCCAUCUAGAGCGCAGACCGGGGGUCCCGGAGAGCCUCAGGCUCGGGUCUUUGGCCUCUGGGUCCAGCCGCCAUGUGGGGCCAGGAUGGUGAGGCCCUGGGACACUGGCUGAGUGACAGAGCCCAUGGCCUUCCUCGGAGAGAGGCUCCUGCCAGGACCGGGGGGCCUCGGGAAAGCCUGGCCCGGUGGGGGCAGGAGCCCAGCAGGUUGAACAGUGUGGACCCCGGGCCACAGGCAGGGACCACUCUGCCCUGGCCCUGCGGACCCCUCCCUCCUGGCCCAGUGCCAAGGCCUGCCAGUCCCAGGACUCGGUGUGCACAGGGCGUGUGUUUGCUCAGGACGUCUGGCCGCGGGACAAAGG